UGUCUUCGGACGGGCGAAGUAAAGUGGCGCACGGGUGAGUAACGCGUAGGCGACCUACCUCUGUGUUUGGGAUAACAGUGCUAAAGCGCUGCUCGUACCGGAUACGAUUCUGCAUGUAAGGCAGGAUGAAAGCGGUGCCUCUCGAAGAUACUCGCGCACGGGGAUGGGCCUGCGUCCUAUCAGCUAGUUGGCGGGGUAACGGCCGACCAAGGCAUCGACGGGUAGCUGGUCUGACAGGAUGAUCAGCCACACUGAGUUCUGGAACACGGGCCAGACUCCUACGGGAGGCAGCAGUGAGGAAUUUUGCGCAAUGGGAGAAAUCCUGACGCAGAAAGAAUCGCGUGGGUGAUGAAGGCCUUCGGGUUGUAAAGCCCUGUCAGGUGGGAAGAAAGACUGGGGGGAUAAUACCCCUCCGGGUUGAUGGUAUCUCCAGAGGAAGCACUGGGUUACUCAGUCCCUGCUGCCGCGGUAAUACGGAGGGUGCCAGCGUUAUUCGGAAUUAGCGGGUGUAAAGCGCGUGCAGGCGGGUGGACAAGUGUGAUGUGAAAGACCUUGGGCUCAACGUGUGAAGUUCAUAGGUAACUGUUCAUUUGUAGUCCUGGAGAGGAAGGGGGAAUUCCCGGUGUAGAGGUGAAAUUAGUAGAGAUCGGGAGGAAUACCAGUGGUGAAGGCGCCGUUUUGGACGGCAACUGACGCUGAGACGAGAAAGCGUGGGGAGCAAACAGGAUUAGAUACCUUGGUAGUGCUCGCCGUAAACGAUGAGCACUAGGUGUAGCGGGUACUCAUUCGUGCUGUGCCGCAGCUAACGC
rnacentral:rRNA from 1 species